rnacentral:rRNA from 1 species
UGAGGAACAUGACCUUCGGCGGGGGAUAGCCGGCCCAACGGCCGGGUAAUACCGCGUACGACCACAUGGGGACAUCCCUGAGUGGUGAAAGCAGCAAUGCGCCGAUGGAGUGCCUCGCGGCCUAUCAGCUAGUUGGUGAGGUAACGGCUCACCAAGGCGACGACGGGUAGCUGGUCUGAGAGGAUGGCCAGCCACAUUGGGACUGAGACACGGUCCAGACUCUACGGGAGG